rnacentral:rRNA from 1 species
GGGUCAGUAGGUUGGUCGUGCCACCGGUACGUACUGGUCUCACUGAUUCCUCCUUCCUGAAGAACCGUAAUGCCAUCAAUUUGGUGUUGCGGGGAAACAGGACUGUUACUUUGAAAAAAUUAGAGUGUUUAAAGCAAGCUAACGCUUGAAUACAUUAGCAUGGAAUAAUGAAAUAGGACGAUCGAUCCUAUUUUGUUGGCUUCUAGGAUUGACGUA